GAAAUGGGUAAAAAGAGAGAACAAAUUAAAAGGGGAAAAAGAAAGUAAAAAGAGAGACCAAAACAAGAUCUUCAACAAACUACAAACUGGAUCGCCACAGCUAGCAAUGAACCUAGCAUGUGACAAUGGCUGUUGAUUCUUUGCGAGUAAUUAACAGAUUCUGGGCAGCUUUCCGAAUGAUGCUUUUGAAUCAUCCAGGGACAUAAUAUCAUCUCGAAAAUUUAAUCUGCAAAUGCAACAAUACCUUACAUCUUGGGAAUUAG
rnacentral:misc_RNA from 1 species